rnacentral:snRNA from 1 species
UUGCUUUGGCAGCACAUAUACUAAAAUUGGCACGAUACAGGGAAGAUUAGCAUGGCCCCUGUGUCAGGGCGAUGCAAGGACAACAUGCAAAUCCACGAAGCGGUCCAUAUUUUG